CAUAACAAAUCUGGAGAGCGGUAAGGACGGACGACGCCUUAUCCACCGAAGGGGAGAAAACGCGAUAUUAUAGGCUUGUUAAAAAAGACAAUAAUAUCGUGUUGAAAAUCUCAGGUUACAGGACAGAUAGGGCUUU
rnacentral:ncRNA from 2 species